CUUUAGAUGCCCCGAGUUAUUUCUAAUUAUUACCGGGUGUUGAUUUUUAGAAAAUCCUAUGAAAAGUUAAGUCCUUGAAAAUUUUGAGUUUCAUAAGCUUUAAGUGUUAAAAAGUGGUAUUUGGGGUCAAUUAGAGCUACGGGUCUCAGAAUGGAAUUCCGUCAAUUCCAGCAGCUCCGAAAUGUCGAAAUAGGCUUAGGAGACUUUACAGAAUCAGUUUUGGAGCUGUAACGAAGAUUUGAGGCCUUGAGUUGAGAAUUUGAAGAACUUUAAGGCAAGGUUUGACUUUGGUCAACUUUUGGAGUUUCGAUGCUCAGAAUGGAAUUUCGACAACUCCGUUGGAUUCAGGAGAUGGUUUUUGGUCUAGAAGAAGUGUUGGUUGAAUUUUUAGAGGUCCCGAGUCCAUUUUGGUAUUUUAAAGGCCUAAGUUAGUUUAGUUGCGACUUUUUGAGUUUUGGGCUAACGAAAUCUCGAAUUCAAAUUCUGAUGGUUCCAUCAGCUCCGGAAUGACCAAAUUAGGCUAGUAGCACUGUUGGAAUGACUAUCGAGUCAAUCGAUACGAGUUUGGGGCUAUUUGGCACUUUUGACUUUGAAACUUAGCUUAUAGUUGACUUUGGUCAACAUUCUUGGAAAAUGCGCUCGAAUAAAAAUUCUGACAGCGCGGUUAGUUCCGGAAUGUUGAUUUUGGUCUAGAACGACCCUUCGUUCGCUUUUUGAGGCUUCCGGACUAAUAUCGAGGCCCGUUGUGAAAUAUGACUUAAAAUGACUCUUGGAUGUGGGACCCACUUUUUAUUAUAAUAACCUCGUAUGAGAAUUCUGAAUGCGCCAUUGAGUCCGAAAUAUCGAAUUUAGUAGGGUAGCAUAUCUGGUUUAUUUUUAUCGGAUUCCGAACGAAUUCCGAGGGUCCAUUCGGAGACUUUAAAUAAUAGAAAACCAGAAAAAUCUGGUGCAAUAGUGCAGAUUUUUGCACCAGAUUUUCAGAUUUUUCUCCUCAACUUUGAACCCUCAUUUCUUGAGUUCUAGAGCUCCAAAUUGGGUGAUUCAAAAGGCAAAAUUGUGAGGUUUUUCGUGGAGAACGCAUUGGAGAGAUUGAAAACUAAUUUGGAGCAUUCGAUUCAGGUAAAAAUCGUGAUAUUAUUUGCAGCAGUGUCCAUUUCCGGAAUGGAUUUUUGAAGAACUUUGACAAGUUAUUUCUUGACCAAUAUAAAUCCGAUUUGGGCGAUUCCAGAGGCUAUCUUGCGUGGAACUUUAAGGAGAACAUCGUGGAAGUUUCAGAAUCUGUUUUUGGCACGUCGUUCGAGUUUGGCAGCGUUACGAGGUCGUUCGAAAGGAAAAAGCUCCAGCACAGUGAUUUGAAGCUCGCGUGUUUAGCCUACAGGACCGAGCACCAGCUACUGUUACGAAUAGAUCGAGCUUGUUGCAGUCAGAUUCGGAGACUAGGGUGAUAACUUGGCGUUUUUGGAUCACUUCUGUCUCCUUCAAAAUGGAUGGCCCGUCUUUUGCCUUUUGAGACUAGCCAGUUAUUGUACAUAUAUGUCCGGUCCACUUUCGAGACUUGUACUCGUCUUUUAUUUUAUAGCAGCUCUGUACUUGUGACUUCCAGGUUCUGGGAGGGAUCUUUAGUUGUUUAAAACAUGUUUUGGUUUACUUCCGCUUUUUCAUUUUGUUUACUUUUAUAAUUCAAUGCUCUUAUAUAGUUUUUGCCUUCAAACACAUUACUUGAAGUUCCGGGUUGACGGGUUGGCUUACCUACUAGAGGGUUAUAGUAGGUGC